AGCCCUGGCCAGCUACCGCGAGCUUACAAUGCUGUCGUCAGGGCAACGAGAUGUCGGGAAGCCAGUAAAUAUCCUAAAAGACUUGGGUUCAAAAGGGCAGGAAGCCGGCAGCUCCUUAAAAGACCCCGAUAGCGGCAAACUAGGCCGUGAUUGUAUUUGAAAGGCAGGUGAUGGGGGAUCGCAUGGAAACGGAGGCACUGUGGAAUUCAGGAUUAAGGGCCUGGAGUUUCUCCUGAUAAGAUCCUGGGUAGAAGCUGCCCAGCCUUAGAAGGAGCUGGUAAGAUGGCUCAGUGGGAGGAGGUGCUUGCUGCUGAAGCUGAUAACCUGAGUUUGAUUCCCAGACCCGUAUGGUGGAAGGAAAGAACUGACUCCUGUAAAUUGUCAUCUGACCUCCACAUGAGGGCCACUGUAGGCACCACCCCUCCCCACCCCCAGUGACCCUCACACUGAAUG